CAUAAAUCAUAAAUCACAGGAUUUACAAUUUGGUGAAAUACAAGAGGAGAUAAACAACAAAGUGAGGUUUUUGAGAUAUUGGGAAUGUUGCUGACCUGUAAUACUGUUUCCCAUUGAUGUGUUUAUGAAGCCUAGAUGCUUUGAAGUCCCUGGAUGCUCUGAACUCUGAAGGUACUAUGCUACAAGUUAAUGAGUUCCAUCCCUGGAACUUGGGAGCUUGGGGCAAAGAGACAGAUGGCACGCUCUCUCCAGAGGGCUGAAGGUGUGAUGGGUAAACCUUUAUAACUCUUGGCAUCUAAAAUCAAGCAAUCAAUGGACUGAAGAGAAGACGUAAAGAAGCAGGCCCAAGAAAAAUGGCUGAGAAUGAAACAUUUGACAGUAAGCAGAGGCAAGUAAGCAGUUCUAUGGCAUUUCAGCCUGUGCUUCCUAUCACAUCUAAGGUUUGGCUGCAUUUUUGUUA